CUUGUUUAUUUCCUUCUAACCAUGUCUUAGAGCCUUAUCUUCUAUUCCAAAGCAGUUUAUCUAGGUAUUUUGCUAAGCAUAGGCAGUUCUCCCCUGAAGAGGAAUGUCUUAACAUAAGAUAAGAUAAAAUUUAUUAGCAGGAUGGGCACCACGUGGUUUUGAAAACUGGCAGGGUCCAGUAUGGUUAGAAUGUUGGGUAUGGAGGGCAAGAGGCAAGAGAGAAAGAUGGAAAGGUCAGCUGGGCCCAGCUGAAGGGCCCUAUAAGGCCAGGCUAUGGUGUGCGCAUCUCAUCUUGGAGGCAGAGGAGCCAUGGAUCUAAGCGGAGAAACACACAAGGCAGCCGCGAAGUUUACUGUCCAUGCAAGGACCCACUUGAGAGCGGAUGGCCGUGCCAACCAGAUGGAACGCCCGGACAGCAGGUGUAAACCAGGACAUCCUGGCAAACAGAUGAGUUUGAAAUUCUUGCUUCGGGCCAUAUGGAGUGGGAAACUGAGGCACGAGGCGGGAAGUUAUGGCCUGACUCCCAGCAGCUGA
rnacentral:lncRNA from 1 species